rnacentral:rRNA from 2 species
GAGAGGACCGGAGUGGACGCAUCACUGGUGUUCGGGUUGUCAUGCCAAUGGCACUGCCCGGUAGCUAAAUGCGGAAGAGAUAAGUGCUGAAAGCAUCUAAGCACGAAACUUGCCCCGAGAUGAGUUCUCCCUGAGACUUUAAGUCUCCUGAAGGAACGUUGAAGACGACGACGUUGAUAGGCCGGGUGUGUAAGCGCAGCGAUGCGUUGAGCUAACCGGUACUAAUGAACCGUGAGGCUUAACCUUACAACGCCGAAG